rnacentral:tRNA from 1 species
GGUUCUAUAUUUUAAAAAAAAAAAAUUUGAUUUGCAUUCAAAAAUUAGGAAAAGUCCUUAUUGCCA